GUGGCGUUUUGGACACUGUUCAGUAUGAAAUUUUAAACUUUAUUAUGUUUUGAUUAGUAUCAGUGAAGAUGCAUAAAGAUCAAUUGUGACAGAAAUCUAAUGAUGAUUCAGUCAAUUAAUCUGUUAAUCACUGAAAUUCUCGAUCAGUGAGUCAACAUGACUUUAAAGGGUCAAAUCAAACGCGUUAUGGCAUUCAAGUUAUUUUUAUCAUUUACAUUGUCCAACUAUUGUAAGAACAAGUUAGGGGGCUAAUAUUUUGACUGCUACUCAUUCGCAGAGUCAAGUACCCAUACUCAAAAUUUAAAAAAUAUUGUUUAUUUGAACAAAUAUCACCAAUUGAAUAAAUAACCCUGAAAGGCGCAUGUCAAAGACAAUGUUAGAUGUUAUCAGGCCAUCAUCACGCAAGCCGGCAACACUGUUGAUAAGAUAUUCGGGGGUGUUCGUUCGUUCGUUCGCCCCUCCGAAGGUCCCACCAGGUCCAUGCUUUUUGCACCUCUCACCAAUAGUUAUUUGAUACCGCGCGGCACGAGUAGUGUUCUCUCGCUUCUUGGGACUCAUUUCGCUUUCCUUUUUGGCGCUGUAUUGUUUUAUUAACCAUUUCCGUCACGUCACAUGUACCUGACUGGAAUAAGACCUGUUUUGUCUUAAGCGGCACUUCGUAUCAAGGUUACGAAAUGGAGAGGCAGCAUUGACGACGAUAAGAAAAUCAGACUAUCUAAUUACCUUUUAUAAUGUCAUUGAAAACAUAUAUCGUGAAGCUAUAGAUAUAUAUAUAUAUAUAUAUAUAUAUAUAUAUAUAUAUAUAUAUAUAUAUAUAUAUAUA